AUUGAACGCUGGCGGCAGGCCUAACACAUGCAAGUCGAACGAGUGGCGGACGGGUGAGUAAUGUCUGGGAAACUGACUGAUGGAGGGGGAUAACUACUGGAAACGGUAGCUAAUACCGCAUACCAUCGGAUGUGCCCAGAUGGGAUUAGCUAGUAGGUGGGGUAUCGGCUCACCUAGGCGACGUGCCCUAGCUGGUCUGAGAGGCUGACCAGCCAAACUGGAACUGAGACAAGGUCCAGACUCCUACGGGAGGCAGCAGUGGGGAAUAUUGCACAAUUGGCGCAAGCCUGAUGCAGCAAUGCCGCGUGUAUGAAGAAGGCCUUCGGGUUGUAAAGCACUGUCAGCGGGGAGGCGUUACCCGCAGAGGAAGCACCGGCUAACUCCGUGCCAGCAGCCGCGGUAAUUC
rnacentral:rRNA from 1 species